UACGUAGGGCGCAAGCGUUGUCCGGAAUUAUUGGGCGUAAAGAGCUCGUAGGCGGUUUGUCGCGUCGGCCGUGAAAACUUGGGGCUUAACCCCAAGCCUGCGGUCGAUACGGGCAGACUUGAGUUCGGCAGGGGAGACUGGAAUUCCUGGUGUAGCGGUGGAAUGCGCAGAUAUCAGGAGGAACACCAAUGGCGAAGGCAGAUCUCUGGGCCGUAACUGACGCUGAGGAGCGAAAGCAUGGGGAGCGAACAGG
rnacentral:rRNA from 1 species